AGAUUGAACGCUGGCGGCAUGCUUUACACAUGCAAGUCGAACGGCAGCACGGGGGCAACCCUGGUGGCGAGUGGCGAACGGGUGAGUAGUGCAUCGGAACGUAUCUUUAAGUGGGGGAUAACGCAUCGAAAGAUGCGCUAAUACCACAUAAUCUCUGAGGAGAAAGCGAGGGGAUCGCAAGACCUUGCG
rnacentral:rRNA from 1 species